rnacentral:rRNA from 1 species
UACAUAUUUCUCAAGCGUUGUUCGGAUUCAUUGGGCGUAAAGGGUGCGUAGGCGGCGCGGUAAGUCGGGUGUGAAAUCUUGGAGCUUAACUCCGAAACUGCAUUCGAUACUUCCGUGCUUGAGGACUGGAGAGGAGACUGGAAUUUACGGUGUAGCGGUGAAAUGCGUAGAUAUCGUAAGGAACACCGAUGGCGAAGGCAGCCCCCUGGGCCGACAUUGACGCUCAGGCACGAAAGCGUGGGGAGCAAACAGG